CAGACGUUACGCAAUGCCGAAGCCCCUCUGCCCUGCUGAGCGCCGUGGUGCGAGCGGCGCUGGCUUUUCUGCAAAGCAAAGGAAGCAAUUGAGCCGCGUGCUUGCAAAACCAAGCCGUGGCAAGGCCUGAUCCGCGUUAUAACGAAACACUUUCUGCAUCCCAAUGGCUCUGGGCUCUGUGAGCAGCGCCUUCGCUCUGCCACCUGCUGCCAGCUGGGGAGUGGGUACCGGCUCUGGCCCCCUGCACCUCCAAAUGCGUCUGAAAUAAGAAAUAAUACUCAGGUGUCUGAGGGCAGAGCUUUAUUACACUCUGUUUGCUGAGAGCUCCUUCCUUUGGCAAGACCACAAAGAGCGUGGAAGGAAAUGAACGUUAACGUUUGGCACACGUUUUGUAAUAUUGCAUAUAGGGAGGUAAAUGCCACAGGUACGUGUGCCAUUUUAUAAAGAAACGCUUCUGGCAGGAAAGCAAUUUUGUACCCAGUUACAUGGCCCGACUGAGAUCAGCGUUAGGAAUGCGUGGUAAUAUUUGGCCAUCUGCUGAUCAGAGCAAGAACUGCACGGUGUCCAUCUCAGAAGGGCGACGUUAAGAUCUGCCAUACAGCAUCGUGACAGAUGGAAAUUCAUCCCUUGAAAUUCCUAGAAAAGGACAGAAUAGCACCUGUACGCGUGCUGUGGGACAGCGGGCUGAGAGGAAGGUGGGGGACGUUUUGCCCCUACAGGUGAGAAAAUGGGCUGAGCUCUGACCCACGAGUUGGAGCCGCUCCUCCGUGCGGAUGCAGCCGGGAGAGCUUCGGUCAAAUCUGCUUAUUUCAUCCUCCGCCCAUUAGAGGGAGCCUGCAGACGUUGUCAUCCCUGCCAUCCCAAGAAAGAUUGCGGAGGUGUUCGGGGGGAGUGAACAACGAGGACUUAGAAACACAGAGUGUGAUUGAAUUGCAGCUGCUGUCUGCCCCAGGCGAUAUGCACUAUUGGUUUUGCUGGAAGUUCCUCCAGCUUCAAGAAGAAUUUGGGACUUCUGUAGGGCAGGAGCAGCCCCUGCAGCCCAUGUUGGAAGGAAGGUGUCCUGCCUGCUUGUGCUGCUUGUGCUGUAGCUAGCUGCUAAUUACAAAGACUAAGAACCCUCUCUGCUGACAUUGCUGCAGACAGAUUCACAGACUCCUGGCUUCCAGGGAAUACUGAGAUCUCUGAUGUAGAGCACAGUGGGAUGAUAAGGAUGGAUCUGCUCCUUCAGCUAGCAACUGAAGUAGGAUAUAACAAUGGAAUUAAUUCUAAAUUGCUUAACUACUUGAAGAGCUAUUACUUCUUUUAAUUACAAGAAAGCCAGAGGAAAUCAAUAUGAUUUAAUUUUGACUAAAAACUCAAUCAGCGUAACUAUGUGUUUCAUUUAUUACAGAAGUGACAGAACAUUACUGUACUUUGUGAUGCUUUACCUGCCUGAAAACUCUGUGCUUUGUUUAUCCUGGCCAUUAUAGUGGCAGUCCAUGGUUUGGACUUAUUGCUCAGCAGCUGCCUGAAGGACCAAGCAGGGUCCUACACCUUGUUUUUACAUUAUAACCCCCAUGGCAGGACCAGCCCCCUGCUCACCAAGCUAAACAAUGCUUUGCUUUGGCAUUGCUUAUUAAUUACACUUGUCGGACCCUCUGAGUAUCACAGCCCUUUGUGGAGCAUUGCUGCCCACGGGCACAGCGGGGAGAUGGAAUGGGCACUGUGCUGCAAAACCUUACUGAAAUGUGGGAAGAUGGAGAAGGAAAUGGGAACAAAAGGAACAGCUGGAUGGGUUGGUUUCUGAGCGCUUCAAGCAAGCAGUGAAUGGUGCAGCUGUAGAAUGCCUUUGUCUUGCUGCUCCUGGCUUUUUUGCCUUUGUAGUCAGAGUUUAUUUUUUAGCUAGUAUUUUUAGCAUUGUUCCAGUUCAGUAGCAUUUAACCUUGCUGCUAUAAUAACUGCUGCAGAAAUUGUCAGGAGGGAAUUUAUUCUGUCUUUGUGAAUCUGUUUGUACAGUAUAAAAUAAAGAAAGCCUGAAGCAAACUAUUGAACA
rnacentral:lncRNA from 1 species